AACGAACGCUGGCGGCAGGCUUAACACAUGCAAGUCGAACGGGUGUAGCAAUACACCAGUGGCAGACGGGUGAGUAACACGUGGGAACCUACCUUGGAGUUUGGGACAACCUCGCGAAAGCGGGCUAAUACCGGAUAACACAAUCGGUUCUCAUGAAUCGGUUAUCAAAGCUUCCGAGCGCUUCAAGAUGAGCCUGCGUCCGAUUAGCUAGUUGGUGAGGUAAUGGCCACC
rnacentral:rRNA from 1 species